GGGCCCUUAGCUCAGUAGGUAGAGCAACUGACUUUUAAUCAGUAGGUCGCUGGUUCGAACCCAGCAGGGCUCACCA
rnacentral:tRNA from 1 species